UGCCAGCCUCCGGUGAUGAGCAGAGUGA
rnacentral:piRNA from 1 species